rnacentral:rRNA from 1 species
UGGGGAAUAUUGGACAAUGGGGGGAACCCUGAUCCAGCCAUGCCGCGUGUGUGAAGAAGGCCUUAUGGUUGUAAAGCACUUUAAGCGAGGAGGAGGGUACUGGUAUUAAUACUACCAGGUACUGGACGUUACUCGCAGAAUAAGCACCGGCUAACUCUGUGCCAGCAGCCGCGGUAAUACAGAGGGUGCGAGCGUUAAUCGGAUUUACUGGGCGUAAAGCGUGCGUAGGCGGCUAAUUGAGUCGGAUGUGAAAUCCCUGAGCUUAACUUAGGAAUUGCAUUCGAUACUGGUCAGCUAGAGUAUGGGAGAGGAUGGUAGAAUUCCAGGUGUAGCGGUGAAAUGCGUAGAGAUCUGGAAGAAUACCGAUGGCGAAGGCAGCCAUCUGGCCUAAUACUGACGCUGAGGUACGAAAGCGUGGGGAGCAAACAGG